CCUACGGGAGGCAGCAGUGGGGAAUAUUGCACAAUGGGCGCAAGCCUGAUGCAGCGACGCCGCGUGAGGGAUGACGGUCUUCGGAUUGUAAACCUCUUUCGGCAGGGACGCGGUACCUGCAGAAGAAGCACCGGCCAACUACGUGCCAGCAGCCGCGGUAAUACGUAGGGUGCGAGCGUUGUCCGGAAUUACUGGGCGUAAAGAGCUCGUAGGCGGUUUGUCGCGUCGUCUGUGAAAUCCUACAGCUUAACUGUGGGCGUGCAGGCGAUACGGGCAGACUUGAGUACUACAGGGGAGACUGGAAUUCCUGGUGUAGCGGUGAAAUGCGCAGAUAUCAGGAGGAACACCGGUGGCGAAGGCGGGUCUCUGGGUAGUACUGACGCUGAGGAGCGAAAGCAUGGGUAGCGAACAGGAUUAGAUACCCUUGUAGUC
rnacentral:rRNA from 1 species